CGCGCAGCCCCGGGCUGGACACUGCCGCCCGCCCCGCGGGCCGCUGAGAACUGCUCUACCCCUCCGUUCUGGCCGCCGGGAGCAGCUGAGCUCGGGGCGGGCAAAGCUCGAGGGGACACGGGGACAUCCUGACACCCUCCCACGAGGACACUCACCACCAAGGCCGGGACCGAAAGACCGAGCCGCUGCGCGCUGCGUUAAUACAGCCAUCCGGGAGAGGGGCGGAGCUGCCCCCCCCCCCCGAGACCUGCAACCAAUCAGAGGGCCGCUUGGAGGGGGCAGAACAGGAAAAGGAGAGCAGCCAAUCGUCAGAAGGAUUGUAGGCGUGGCUGAUCAUUUUGCAGUCAGCGUCUUAUUGGAAAAAGAAGCCCCAUGGGGCUGGAGAGAUGGCUCAGCAGUUAAGAGCACUUGCUUCUCUUGCGGUUCCUCGCACCCACUACCUGCAACGCCAGGCUCCAGCUCCACAGUCCCCUUUGGACAACAACAAGUUCACACAAACACACACACA
rnacentral:lncRNA from 1 species